CCAAAACAAGCCUCAUAAGAGAGGGGCAGAACUUUAUUAAUCUAAGAAUGAGUUCAAGUUCAUAAGGGAGGGGAAUCAGGAAAAGUUAUGGCAGGUUGGUGGUCAUGGCCAUCAAUUUGGAUGCUGGCAGACCCAUGACCAUCCUGCAAACCAAACAUUGAGAGUUCAGAUUUUAUUGUGGAUCAGGUUAUGACAUGGCAAUAAUUAGGAUACAACCAAGUUAAAACCUUAGGCACAUAGAAGGGGAUAGGGGUAGAGAUUCAUAAUAGAAAGCAGAGGCAAAGAAGGGAAAUAUGUAGCACAAAUUACUGAACAUGAGCAGUAAAGCAAACAAGAAGCCUGAAACUGUAAAGUAAACACAUAGGGGUGAGGUAACAUAUUUUAAUGAAAGACAUACCAGUAUCAAAGGAAAAAAAUUAAGAAAACAUGAGAGAGACAAGUUGCAAAUAAUAGUUCCAAAAAAAAGAUUUCAAGCAAAGCAGAAUUUAAAAAAAAAACAGUAUUGCAAGAAAGUAUGAGUUUAAGUGUGUGUUGUUAUAUUUUUUCCCGUACUUGUCUUUGUAAAGAGGAAGUCUAGGUCUUUAUAUAGUUUAAAAAAUAGGUAGCACAUAGGCAAAGAAUGCACAAACAUGGAAAUAGCAAUCAAUUUGUAUCAAUUAAAACAACUUGACUCCUUUGAUUAAGGAGUCUAGUUCAAAAAGCUAGCCAAGACAGAAUAAGGAAGAAAAACAGUUUAAUAAGGCUGAUUAGGGUACAGAAACAACAUGGCUCAUAAAGAAGGUCAAAUACAUAGUGGGUCAUUAAGGAAAGCUGGAUAGUAGUGAAAAUAGGGCGUCAGUUCGAAAAUCAAUCAAAAGGAUCCCUGAUCCAAUUGUAAUCACAAAGAAUCUCAAGUAAUUAAGGAAAAAGUCAUAUAAGUAUAGAAAUAAUUCAACCAUUGGUACAAAAUCAUAGAAGAUCAUGUAUUUAAGGAAAACAUCACAAGCAUAGGAUUUUUACACAAAAGGAUCAAAAUAAAGAGGUUCAAUCGAAAGAAAUUAGUAGGGAAUCAUUAGCCUGAUUAAAGGGAAUUCAAAAAUCGAUCCUUUGGUUGGUGAAACCUUUUGAAGUAGGAGUUAUUCUUAUACAAAAAUCAUAUAGAUCAAACAAAGAAAAAGUCUAAGAAUGAAAGUUUCAGAGUUACAAGCAAACAAGAUUCGAGUUCGAUUACAGGCUCAUAGUGGGUCUGAAAGCUUAGGGUUCAUUUGCCCAAUGAAAACCCCCAAAUCAUAGCGUUUUGAAUAGAGUCAGAGGUGAGAAAUCAAGGUCAUUGAGAGAGGCUCAGAGACCUUUAUCAUAUGACUUCUGAGAGGCAAAAAUAUGAGAUAGCAAACAGAUUGAUUCAAAGUCAUGCUUCGAGAGAAACUUGGAAUUCAAACAAAUUUCAGAAGUUUUAAACAAAGUAGAUAACAACAAUACUUAGCAGGAACAUCAACAAAACCCAGUAAGGGUAACAAAAUAAAAGAGCACAAACUUAAACAAAUAAGCAAAGAGUGCGGAACAACAACCUAAGUUAACAUGUGAACAGAAAAAGUCUUGCACAAUCGGAGAAGAAACGAAAAAGCAAACAGUAAGAGGAAGAACAUUCGAGUAUAAACACACAUAAAGAGAGAGCAAAAGAGUCAGAAAACAUUUAAAGAAACUUUUUCCAUAAACCCUAAAAAUCGAACAUGAACAAUUUUUAAAAGAAAAUCUGGGGAAAAGCUUUAAAACGCCAAGUAAAGACCAAGCAUGUCACAUAUCUGAAAUAAAUAAGCAACUAUUGAACCUUAGAAGGCUUAAAAAUGGCAGAGAAGACCCUAGAAUGAGAAGCUCUUGAGAAAGAUCGAAUCCUGAGUCGUAGAGUCUCAUAUUGCUUUGAACACGCCGGGAAAUGGCCGGAGAGGGCAUAGAUCUUGUAGAUCUGAGAUAGAUCUAAAGGAAGCCAUGGAAGUUGGCCUCCAAACAUUGGUAGGCUUAGUUUUAAUGGUGAAGGAGAGUGGGUACCGGCCACCUCUGGCCAAGAAUGCCAUGGAUUCCGAUGGAAAUAGGACGGAAGUAGGUGGGAAUUAGCUAGGGCUUUAGUGAGGUCUAGAGAGGAUUUGGGAGACGAAUGUGGC
rnacentral:lncRNA from 1 species